rnacentral:rRNA from 1 species
AUGAACGCUGGCGGCGUGCCUAAUACAUGCCAGUCGAGCGAACAGACGAGGAGCUUGCUCCUCUGACGUUAGCGGCGGACGGGUGAGUAACACGUGGAUAACCUACCUAUAAGACUGGGAUAACUUCGGGAAACCGGGGCUAAUACCGGAUAAUAUAUUGAACCGCAUGGUUCAAUAGUGAAAGACGGUUUUGCUGUCACUUAUAGAUGGAUCCGCGCCGCAUUAGCUAGUUGGUAAGGUAACGGCUUACCAAGGCGACGAUGCGUAGCCGACCUGAGAGGGUGAUCGGCCACACUGGAACUGAGACACGGUCCAGACUCCUACGGGAGGCAGCAGUAGGGAAUCUUCCGCAAUGGGCGAAAGCCUGACGGAGCAACGCCGCGUGAGUGAUGAAGGUCUUCGGAUCGUAAAACUCUGUUAUUAGGGAAGAACAAAUGUGUAAGUAACUAUGCACGUCUUGACGGUACCUAAUCAGAAAGCCACGGCUAACUACGUG